UACGGAGGGUGCAACCGUUGCUCGGAAUCAUUGGGCGUAAAGCGCACGUAGGCGGUCUGGUAAGUCGGAUGUGAAAUCCCUCGGCUCAACCGAGGAAGGGCAUCCGAAACUGCCGGGCUUGAGUGCGGAAGAGGGUCUCGGAAUUCCCGGUGUAGAGGUGAAAUUCGUAGAUAUCGGGAGGAACACCAGUGGCGAAGGCGGAGACCUGGGCCGAUACUGACGCUGAGGUGCGAAAGCGUGGGGAGCAAACAGG
rnacentral:rRNA from 1 species